UACGUAGGGUGCAAGCGUUAAUCGGAAUUACUGGGCGUAAAGCGUGCGCAGGCGGUUGUGCAAGACCGAUGUGAAAUCCCCGGGCUUAACCUGGGAAUGGCAUUGGUGACUGCACAGCUAGAGUGUGUCAGAGGGGGGUAGAAUUCCACGUGUAGCAGUGAAAUGAGUAGAGAUGUGGAGGAAUACCGAUGGCGAAGGCAGCCCCCUGGGUCAAGAUUGACGCUCAUGCACGAAAGCGUGGGGAGCAAACAGG
rnacentral:rRNA from 1 species